AUCUCAUUGGCCAGAAUAAAGAGCCCCCCACCCGGGCCCUCCUCCCAGCGGCCUCCCCAACGGGCUAUAAAAGCCCGCAGCCAGAUGCAGGGCAGCUUUCCUGCACCCUGGGCUUGCAAAGGUGACCUCAGGGACAGAAAUGCAGCUGCCAUAAACAUUUCGAGGUCCAGCAACAGUCUUUAAAAAAAAAAUAGGGGAAGCGGUGAGAAAAUGAUCGAGCUGAAACUAGAAGGGACGCUGGAGACGCAGAAGCAGGUUUGUUUUCUGUUAGCGCAAGCAGAGAGGCGGGAAGCAAAAGAGCCAGCUGCUCCAAAGAGACGGACAAACUGACUGUUCCUGACAAGGACGCUGCAAUCUGGCUAACUAAAGACCAGACGCAUGCAUAAUCCUCCGGAAAAUUCAUCUUGGUCAGAGGGCCUUGAAGGGGUAAUUAAAAUGCACCGAGUGGAGACUGCACCUGUUUAGAAGGGAGUAUGCUGGAACUAGAUGUUCCUUAGUCAGCUGAGAAUGCCAAGUCUUUUACGACCAAAUUCUGCGCUGUAUAAACAAUGAAGCUGUGCCGCUUACGCCAGCAGAGAACGGAGUAUGGCCAGAGUUCGAUCAUCAUACAGAACAGCAGAAGGCUACCCUAGAUGGCAGCGAGAGAUCUCCAGACCUCUGAGUGGGGUAGGAGCGCAAGAGAGAGAAGAAACUCUUCAAUGUAGAAUUCAAGGCUGGCCCCGCCACCCUAGGGCAAGGAACAGCAUUGGGUGGUU